rnacentral:rRNA from 1 species
GGAUAACUACCCUUUAGGACCGGGAUAACUUUGGGAAACUGAGGAUAAUACUGGAUAGGCAAUUUUUCCUGGAAUGGUUUUUUGUUUAAAUGUUUUUUCGCCUAAGGAUGGGUCUGCGGCCGAUUAGGUAGUUGGUUAGGUAACGGCUUACCAAGCCAUUGAUCGGUACGGGUUGUGAGAGCAAGAGCCCGGAGAUGGAACCUGAGACAAGGUUCCAGGCCCUACGGGGUGCAGCAGGCGCGAAACCUCCGCAAUGUGAGAAAUCGCGACGGGGGGAUCCCAAGUGCCAUUCUUAACGGGAUGGCUUUUCAUUAGUGUAAAAAGCUUUUGGAAUAAGAGCUGGGCAAGACCGGUGCCAGCCGCCGCGGUAACACCGGCAGCUCUAGUGGUAGCAAUUUUUAUUGGGCCUAAAGCGUCCGUAGCCGGUUUAAUAAGUCUCUGGUGAAAUCCUGUAGCUUAACUGUGGGAAUUGCUGGAGAUACUAUUAGACUUGAGACCGGGAGAGGUUAGAGGUACUCCCAGGGUAGAGGUGAAAUUCUGUAAUCCUGGGAGGACCGCCUGUUGCGAAGGCGUCUAACUGGAACGGUUCUGACGGUGAGGGACGAAAGUUAGGGGCGCGAACCGGAUUAGAUACCCGGGUAGUCCUAACUGUAAACGAUGCGGACUUGGUGUUGGGGUGGCUUUGAGCUGCUCCAGUGCCGAAGGGAAGCUGUUAAGUCCGCCGCCUGGGAAGUACGGUCGCAAGACUGAAACUUAA